rnacentral:rRNA from 1 species
GACGAACGCUGGCGGCGUGCUUAACACAUGCAAGUCGAACGGAAAGGCCCUUCGGGGUACUCGAGUGGCGAACGGGUGAGUAACACGUGGGUGAUCUGCCCUGCACUUUGGGAUAAGCCUGGGAAACUGGGUCUAAUACCGAAUAGGACCACGCGCUUCAUGGUGUGUGGUGGAAAGCUUUUGCGGUGUGGGAUGGGCCCGCGGCCUAUCAGCUUGUUGGUGGGGUAAUGGCCUACCAAGGCGACGACGGGUAGCCGGCCUGAGAGGGUGACCGGCCACACUGGGACUGCGAUACGGCCCAGACUCCUACGGGAGGCAGCAGUGGGGAAUAUUGCACAAUGGGCGCAAGCCUGAUGCAGCGACGCCGCGUGAGGGAUGACGGCCUUCGGGUUGUAAACCUCUUUCAAUAGGGACGAAGCGCAAGUGACGGUACCUAUAGAAGAAGCACCGGCCAACUACGUG